rnacentral:rRNA from 1 species
AUUGAACGCUGGCGGCAUGCCUUACACAUGCAAGUCGAACGGCAGCACGGGUGCUUGCACCUGGUGGCGAGUGGCGAACGGGUGAGUAAUAUAUCGGAACGUACCUUAUUGUGGGGGAUAACGCAGCGAAAGCUGUGCUAAUACCGCAUAAUCCCUAAGGGGGAAAGCGGGGGACCGUAAGGCCUCGCGCAAUUAGAGCGGCCGAUACCUGAUUAGCUAGUUGGUGAGGUAAAGGCUCACCAAGGCAACGAUCAGUAGCUGGUCUGAGAGGACAGUCAGCCACACUGGGACUAGGACACGGCCCAGACUCCUACGGGAGGCAGCAGUGGGGAAUUUUGGACAAUGGGGGCAACCCUGAUCCAGCAAUGCCGCGUGAGUGAAGAAGGCCUUCGGGUUGUAAAGCUCUUUUGUCAGGGAAGAAACAGCAGCUCUAACACAGUUUGCGAAUGACGGUACCUGAAGAAUAAGCACCGGCUAACUACGUGCCAGCAGCCGCCGUAA